GGCCCAAUGGUCUAGACGUAUGAUACACGCUUCGGGAGUUUGUCCAGAGAUCAUUGAUUUCAAGUUUGUGUGUGGUCCCGGGUUCAAUUCCCGGUUGGGCCC